rnacentral:rRNA from 1 species
UUUUAAUAAAAGUUAAUUAAUGAGAAAUUAAAUGAAAUCAUUAAAUUUAAAUAAUUUGGCGGUAUUUUAAAUAGUUAGAGGAACUUGUUAAAUAAAUGAUAAUCCACGUUUGGAGGGUCCUUAUUUAGUUUUUAUAUAUUGUUGUAUAAAAAUUAUUUUAAGAGAAUAAUAAUUGAUAAAUUUAAUUUAAUUAAAAUUCAAAUCAAAAUGUAGGGUCGUAAGGUUUAAAUGAGUUACAAUUUAUUUAAAUAGAUUUAUUGUUUUUAAAUAACAUAAUAAAAGAGGAUUUAAUAGUAAAUUUAUAGAAAUUUAUAAGUUGAAAUAUAUUUAAAAUAUG